UACGAAGGGUGCAAGCGUUAAUCGGAAUUACUGGGCGUAAAGCGCGCGUAGGUGGUUCAGCAAGUUGGAUGUGAAAGCCCUGGGCUCAACCUGGGAACUGCAUCCAAAACUACUGAGCUAGAGUACGGUAGAGGGUAGUGGAAUUUCCUGUGUAGCGGUGAAAUGCGUAGAUAUAGGAAGGAACACCAGUGGCGAAGGCGACUACCUGGACUGAUACUGACACUGAGGUGCGAAAGCGUGGGGAGCAAACAGGAUUAGAAACCCCGGUAGU
rnacentral:rRNA from 1 species